UUUCAACUUUGCCUGCCACAGAUUUACCCAGAAGUUGUCAUAUAAAAAGAAAAAAGAAAUCAGGCCAUAUGUUAUUUCAAUAUUCUCCUGACUUAAAAAAGCAAUGGAGUCCAUGCUGUAUGCCCAGGAGUGGUCACUCUUCUCUAAUUACAUCAAGUGAAUUUGUGAACUUUGCUCUCAUAACAUGGAAAUAUUCCUGAAACAGUGGAGAAAUGGCAAAGCUCAACUCUUGAGCACUGAAGCAAACAGAGGCUUAAAAGGUGUAAGUGGCCUUCAGACUUGAAGCUCUGGCUCUCGGGGAUACAGGACGGCAGAACCGCCUCAUAUCUGAGUCAGAAUGCUGGGCUUGAUUUCUCAGGUAACUGAUGAAAAUGUCUCCCACAAAAUGAUGACCAUAAGAAACAUCAGAAUAUUUGCUAUGGCAGAUGACACCAAGAUAACUAGAAGAUUUAAUCUAGCAGACCACACUAACCUGGCUUAAGAACUUUUCAAAUAUAAAUGAUCUAAAUGUUACUUUACUUGGCAAAACAAAG